rnacentral:lncRNA from 10 species
CUGGAGAACAACGAGAAGAGUCCUGCUUCAGCUGUGCCAAAGAAUGGGUUCUUUUUCUUAUGGCAGCCACAUGCAGCCACAGCGGUGGUGUUGAAAUGGGAAAGGUUCCCCCGUCCCCCUUGCAGGGCGUGCGAUGGGGUGUGCUCGCCUCUUCAGUGCCCCGUUGGUCAUACCUCUAGUGGGGCAUAGAGAUGGGCAGGUUGUGGGGCUCCAACCCCAUGGCAGUGUCUAAGGGUGGAUGUUUACAGCUGAAGCCCCAGAGGGCGUGUGUUCCAGGGUGCGCUCUUAGUUCACGGUCUAUAGCUCAGUUAGACCCUCUACCUUGUCAUAAGGCCAGAGGGCUUUCUGUAUCCCGGGUUCUUGCCUUGGUGUACCGGAAGAAUCGGAUCACACGUGGGCUUGGAGAAUGACUGCAAAAUCGUAUUGAGUGGAAGUAACUCUCCACCGACAGGAGAGUCAGAAAGGAGAUGGUUUUCCCCCGGAGUUGGGCAGCUCCAGAAGGGAGAUGGCUUUCCCCUGGAGUUGGGCCGCUGGGUGCCCGGGCUGUCCUCCUACUGCCCAGGACAAACUCCACCUCGUCCCACCGGUCGAUGGCCUGCCGGGGAGCCCGCGGGCGAGCCGGCGUCUGUAGGUGUGUUCUUCUGCUGACAUGCUCUCCGUGACCAGCCGCUUCUGUCUUCUUCCACUGAUGCGUUCCUCUCGCCCUCCAGCAGCUUCUGUCUCUGCCUUGCUAGGGUCGUGGGUGUUUAUAGGCCCAGGCUGGGGGCGUGGCGGGCCAGGGUGCUCUUGGAAAAGCAGGAGUGCCUGUCCUCGCCUAGGUCCCUGGGGCUAGAGGCCUAGUCACGGACUCUGCCCUUUCUACCCCGCGCUUUCCUUCCCGGCUUCCGUAUCAUUUAAAGGGACCGUGCUCUUCCUUUCCCAGCACUCCGGCUUGAGUGUUAAAUGGCCAGCAGGAAUUAUCCACUAGAGAAGCGGAAGGGAGAGAAUGGAAAUGGCCGCAUGCAGCUCCUCUCCCUCAGACAGCUCGGGGCUCAGCGGAAUGAGCACAGUCUGCAGGACAAGUGCGGAGGACUUCAGUCCCCUCUACUGUAUAUUGGCUUUAGGACUCAAGUUGUCCCUGAAAUAGAGGAAGGUGUUUUCUAGGGUAGUGGUAAUUAUCACAGUCAAAAAAGUAGGCGAGAGCACUUAGGAAAACUGUGCGGAGAUCGGCUGCUGAUGUGUAAAUACUGCUGAAGCUGCUUAUUCAAGAUUAGAAAACCUGAGACCCAGACGGGGGAAACUGCUUUCCAUGGUUAAUCGUCAACAACUGGCCAGGAUGGGACAGAAGCCCAUACAUAGCCUUCAUUCCAGGGCUCAGAACAAAAAGAAGGCAGUGGCCUGGGCUGCACCUGAGCUUGGCUUCACAUAGGAGGGAUUCUGGAACGCAGGAUCCUGACAACGACCUCAAGCCCCUGUAAAGCAACACAUUUUUUGGCAAGAAUCCCUGGGACAGAGAAAGAAUUUCUUCUCACUUAUUAUUGAGAAUGUUCUCAUGUCUUGCAAGGCUCACUGCCCAGUAGAAGCUGAAAAGAUUCAGUAUGAGUAAAAGAAGAGAUCUGAAAUUUGCAGCUUGUCAUAGAAAGGGCCCCACUGUGCAACUCCUCUCCCUGGAGUAUUGGUCCAUGCUCUUUCUCAAGCC